rnacentral:rRNA from 1 species
AUUGAACGCUAGCGGCAUGCCUAACACAUGCAAGUCGAACGAGUGGCGGACGGGUGAGUAAUGUCUGGGAAACUGCCUGAUGGAGGGGGAUAACUACUGGAAACGGUAGCUAAUACCGCAUACCAUCGGAUGUGCCCAUAUGGGAUUAGCUUGUUGGUGGGGUAACGGCUCACCAAGGCGACGAUCCCUAGCUGGUCUGAGAGGAUGACCAGCCACACUGGAACUGAGACACGGCCCAGACUCCUACGGGAGGCAGCAGUGGGGAAUAUUGCACAAUGGGCGCAAGCCUGAUGCAGCCAUCCCGCGUGUAUGAAGAAGGCCUUCGGGUUGUAAAGUACUUUUAGCGGGGAGGCGUUACCUGCAGAAGAAGCACCGGCUAACUACGUGCCAGCAGCCGCGGUAAUAC